GACGAACGCUGGCGGCGUGCUUAACACAUGCAAGUCGAACGGAAAGGCCCUGCUUUUGUGGGGUGCUCGAGUGGCGAACGGGUGAGUAACACGUGAGUAACCUGCCCUUGACUUUGGGAUAACUUCAGGAAACUGGGGCUAAUACCGGAUAGGAGCUCCUGCUGCAUGGUGGGGGUUGGAAAGUUUCGGCGGUUGGGGAUGGACCCGCGGCUUAUCAGCUUGUUGGUGGGGUAGUGGCUUACCAAGGCUUUGACGGGUAGCCGGCCUGAGAGGGUGACCGGCCACAUUGGGACUGAGAUACGGCCCAGACUCCUACGGGAGGCAGCAGUGGGGAAUAUUGCACGAUGGGCGGAAGCCUGAUGCAGCAACGCCGCGUGCGGGAUGACGGUCUUCGGGUUGUAAACCGCUUUCGCCUGUGACGAAGCGUGAGUGACGGUAAUGGGUAAAGAAGCACCGGCUAACUACGUG
rnacentral:rRNA from 1 species